rnacentral:rRNA from 1 species
GCCUCUACAGGUGUUGCAUGGCUGUCGUCAGCUCGUGUCGUGAGAUGUUCGGUUAAGUCCGCUAACGAGCGCAACCCUCGCUGUGUGUUACAAGUGUCACACGGUACUGCCGAUAUUAAGUCGGAGGAAGGUGGGGAUGACGUCAAGUCAGCAUGACCUUUAUAUCCAGGGCUACACACACGCUACAAUGGCCAGUACAAUGGGUUGCCAAGCCGCGAGGCGGAGCCAAUCCUAAAAAGCUGGCCUCAGUUCAGAUUGCAGUCUGCAACUCGACUGCAUGAAGUUGGAGUUGCUAGUAACCGCAGGUCAGCAAUACUGCGGUGAAUACGUUCCCGGGGAUU